AGGAGAGCCAUGGCUGGGAUGUUAGCGAGACUUUCAAACCGAGCACUGGCAGCUGUUGGAGGCUGGGGUUUGUGCCUUCAGGGUAUCAGCAGAGGGAGGUGAAAAGCCCAGGUGAGCAUUUCUGUGAGGUGACCCUGCACCUGCACCUCCAAGUCAGCAUGCCAGUGUGGGUUCCAAGCAUCCAGCUGGGAAGAGGGGCAAAUGUGAUCCUUCGCAGGAGGGCGUGGCACCACCUGCCGCAAUAUUUAUUCUGAGUGUUCUGUUUAUUCUAAAGCAAGGCUGAGAUCCCAUUAGGAAAAGUUGAACAUUUCCCUACGCCUCUCUAUGGAGGGCCCUCUGUCGAGCAAGGCCUUACAGUCCGGAGGAUUUGGAGAAGAGCAGAUUUAAGUUAACAGCUUGUCCUUUCUUGGGGUGAAAAAAACCACCUUUCAUAGAACCCCCUAAAGUUGUAGAUCUGGGGGAGGGAGCUAGAGAUGUUCCUCUGGACCAAUCAGAGCCAGUAGACACAAGCAUAGCUCAGCUUCUGAGUUCCGGAGAGUUGGGGCCUGGAUGGAGGAGGUUGAAACGACAUGGCCCAUAGGAGUGGCAUCGCAAGAUGUACUUAAAGGAUUGAGAGAGCGCUUGCACUUUCGUGAAGUGUGUAGUUCACAGUGUUUCCCCUGCGCCUGCCAGUUGUGGUUCUGAGGAGGCAGCUGGAGGCAGCCCUGCAUGCAGCUCCAUCAGGCUUAUGACAUUCAUGUGUCAUUGGUUUUUCUGUCCAUUGGACCUCAGUAAGUCCUGUGUCCUUGAACUUCUUGGGGGGGGGGCGCUAUGAAUUUUCUAAUUGUGGGCGCACAAUUGUCGACAAUGGCUCUUGGGAAAUUCAGUUGAUUCCUUUAAGCGGAGGCUCUCAGAGUGGAGGGCCUCUAAUCGUACGGAGGAGAAAAUGGGUUUGCAUGUUGGUAAAGAAAUAAGGGGUGGUAUUUGGAGAAUUUCAGGUCUGGAACCUGCCACUUGAAUGAGUGAGUGAGUGAAUCUUUUUUUUUUUUUAAGAUGGAAUCCACAUCCCUUAAGUAAGCAGAAGUACAUACUUGAAGGUGGCUUUUCUCCCUAACUCCUAAACAGAUCCUAGCAAUUAAUGAAGAGCUUAGAUUCCUUUAUGUGGCGUAAACUUUAGGGUUGGCUCUAACUGUGUGUUGCUCCCCCCAUGAUGUGUGGGAGCCUUCCCAUCUCAGAACCAGCAGUGUUUCCUGGGUUUGGAAGAGCUGCUAUUUGUCCUAGUGUGACUCUUCAAAUUUCCAGGUUAGUCAUUUGAUCACUCCUAACGUGGAUCCGAUUUCCCUUUAGGGAAACUGGAAAAAUCCUUAACGUGGUGAACCAUGGCUCCAGCCCUGCUCCCGCCGCCCCUGUUUCCCUCUCCCUGCCGACUUUCUUCUUCAGCCGGGGGAGGGUGGUAUUUCACGGUAAUGUGCAGUGGCGUUGGCUUUUCAAACAUUCGCCUUGAGAACGAGAUAGACGAUGUCUCCGACUUGUAGAAGGAAAAUGGACACUCCCCAUUUCCCAGCGCAAGCCUGGGGUGGUUGUGAGUUCUCAGACUUUCAGAUGUGUAUUAAUAUCAAGCCAGUUGAAAAAGACCAAUUGACCUGCAAAUUCGGGGAUUUAGGAGCGGGGACCCUAUCUCUUAAAAAAAAUUUAAUGACAGGUCACUUUGUAAAGGACUUUGUUAUCCUUUAUCCACAUCUGAAUCCCAACUCUGCCUCAGUUUCUUCGUCUCUGAACCUGGAGUGGAUAGCAGCUCCUUCACAAAGGUUUUGUGAAAAAUGAAAGCUGGUCUGGCGAGGGCCUCACAGCGUAUCAUCGUCACCGUUAUUAUUGCUGGUUUAAUCAUCAUUAGGAUGGCGGUUGUUUGCAAGCUGGACCACCUGGCUUCAGAUGCCAGCUGUGCCAGUCAUUAACUGUUGUGAACUUGGCCAAAUCACUUAGCUUCCCUGAACUUGCUUCCUUUUCUCAUAGUUUCCUGUAGGUGAAAUAAACAUGCUUCUGGAAGGUCUGAUACAUGGCGGUGCCAAAGUCGGAUCCACUGUUAUUACUGAUGAUUUUUGAAAGAGGCCUUGAACUUGCAACCUUCCUGCCUCUUAACUGUUAUUUAUGGGAGGGCCUCACACUAGUUCUCAGAGAGAUGGAGUGAUAAUAUUAAUUGAAUGUGUGUACCAGGCACUUUGUGAGGGGGCGAUGUGUCACCUCUGUUGGACAGAUGAGGCAGCUGAAACAUUGAAGGGUUGAGUAGUGACUGAUAUAAAGACAUACACCUAGGCAAUCUGCCUCUAUAGUUAGACCCUUGACCAGUGUGUGGUCCCGUUGGGGUACCACUGGGCAUUGCCUCCCUGUCAGAAGCGAGGGGACAUGGCUCUCUGAGGUCAGCAGACCAUGGAGAGCAGAACCAAAGUCAUUCUUAGUGAAGUUCCAGGUCCUUGGGUUCCGGUCAUUCUCCUCCCCUUGUGAUGUCAUCUAAUUGUGGGACACUAGUGUUCUCUAACUGACCCCUUGGGGUAUCCUUUCAGGUGCUUCUGGGGUUGCUCAACCCAGUUAAAACUCAUGUCUCUGCUCCUGGCCACCCCUCCCUGCUAACGGUUGCCAGAGAAAUAUUCCGAGGAGGUGUUAAACAAGACGGUGGAAAGAAGCUGUAACUUGAGACCAAAGAAAAUCUGUGGCAGUGAAGAACGGAUUUCAUACGAGUACUGUCAUAAUAUUCUUUAAUGUCUCGUAUAAAUAAAAAUCUGUUUUGUCCAGAA